rnacentral:snRNA from 11 species
AAAAGUAUGAAGAAAGAAUGACAAGAUCAUGGUAUGAAGAUGGUUUUCUCACGGUAAGGCUUAUCAAUUACACUUCAGAUGUGCUGACCCAUUCAAUUUCUCCAAAUGUGGGAAACUUGCCUGUAUAAUUUAGGAUAGUGGGAGACUGAGGACACACUUGUCCCUU